GUGUCAGCCGCCGCGGUAAGACGUAGGGGGCAAGCGUUGCUCGGAAUCACUGGGCUUAAAGGGCGCGUAGGCGGUUGUGUAAGUCCAGGGUUGAAGGCCCCGGCUCAACCGGGGAAAGGCCUUGGAGACUGCAUGACUUGAGUGAGCGAGGGGAGGGCGGAAUUCCUGGUGUAGCGGUGAAAUGCGUAGAUAUCAGGAGGAAGGCCUGUGGCGAAGGCGGCCCUCUGGCGCUCAACUGACGCUGAGGCGCGAAAGCGUGGGUAGCAAACAGGAUUAGAUACCCUGGUAGUCCACGCCCUAAACGAUGGGCACUUGGUGUCGCGGGUGUCGAUCCCUGCGGUGCCGGAGCAAACGCGUUAAGUGCCCCGCCUGGGGAGUACGGUCGCAAGGCUGAAACUUAAAGGAAUUGACGGGG
rnacentral:rRNA from 1 species